GAGACCUGAAGACUGUUCAGUUGCAAAGAAGAUGUCGGCCAGGUUAAAGUUGGUGCCUCAGUGGAGAUAACACUAAGAGCUGGAUGUCACUUCAACCUCUCACCAACACUUGGGGGAAUCUAGUUUACAUCUAAACAGCAGACACUGAUGAAGAAUGAGUCCACAUUACAGAGCAUUCCAAUAGUCAUCACAUUUCAAGAGCAGACAAGCAGUGUCAUGAGUGCUUUUAAGCAUCUUAUGGAGCAAGUUAUGAUAUGGCAUUAUGGGAAAUAGGUGAAAAUUUAAAAGCUUGCACCGGGGAAGGAAAAUCACAUGCACAUCUGCCAGUACAAUUAACACAAUGGCACAAAUGGUGACAAAACUCAACAAUCUUCAACUGCCCACUCACUAAGUAACGAGAAGAGCUGUUUACCCCAUGUUCCUUAUUAAAGUGAAGUAUUUUAUUUAAUGAGCAUGACUCAUACAAGGUGUUCCCAUAAAUCAUCGGCUGGUUUACAAACUCAAUAACUAGGCUUCCUGCUAUAACUAAGCCGUGCACACCUUAAAUUAUUAACACACCACGGCCUAAAGGCAGAUCUUUGAUGGUGAUAUAAACACUGUGAGGACAAGGUGCUUUCUCAGCAAAAGAUUAUUGACUCUAAUUACCAUUUACCAUUGAAAAAAAGACAAUAAAAUAUGAGGGGCGGAGGAAAAGGGACUUCAUACAACAAGAAAUAUGAAAGGAAUUGAAUGUUUUUUUUAUUGUUGUUGACAAACAGUUCUUUUUCCCAGAAGAGAGAAUAAAAACAAAAGCCUUACAGAAUAUUGCUCAGAAAGGUUUUAUGCACAUCCUUUGCAAAGGAAUGGAAAGCACCAGAGGGCAUGAAUAAGGAGAUUGCACUUGAUGGAUCCUUGUUUAAUUGUUUGCUUGGAUGUGAUGUAACACAGAGGACAGUCGGAUCACGAAUUGGCAAGGACUUGUGGAGGAAGAAUUUCCGGAACCCUAGCUGCUUUGGAACUAUUCCAUAAAUACAAAUGCAAUUGCACUGACUUCUGUGGCAUCUUGGCAAGUUUUAGUUUAAGAUUUUUAUCUUUGAUGGUUUGAUCAAUCGUGGCCAAAAAAACCUGCAACAGCAGAAAGUAACACAAUCACUGCAAAAAUACUAUAAGGAACACUGCUCCAGACUGGCUUGUAGAUUGAACUGUCACAACUAAAUGACUGUCAACCCUAUAUUUCCUUUUUUUUUUAUAAAUCGUUUUAUUUCUAUGCAUUACCUAUUAAUUCUGAGUAGUCCUGGAGUUGUUUCCUUAUAGUUUGCACUAACCAUACUGCACAUACACCAAUUGGGUGGGAGAGGGGGCAGGUGAGUGGGCAUGCCUAGGCAGCACCAGAUAUACAUCCAUCACUGCUGUAAAAUAUUCAUAAAAAUGAAGUUUAGAAAAAAGUCAUCUUUGGAUCACUCCAAUGGUAUGGUAAUAAUUGUCUGUCAGCUUUUAUAUUUAAUUGAAUUUACAAAACUCUCAAGUGAUCCUUUUAUUUUUAUUGAAACAAGCAAGGAAACCAUGUAUGCCUAAGAUCUGUUUUUACUCGUAGCACAAGAAAAACGUUACACUAAUGUAAUAAAACAUUUAUGCAAAGAGAAAUUAAGUUAAAUGUAAUGAUUCUGUAAUUUUAGAUCUCUUGGGAGAAAAUAAAAUGAGCCAUUAAAGCCUGAAAACAAGAUAUAAAUAUUAAAUUUGAA